rnacentral:lncRNA from 1 species
AUGCUGCUUGAAUUUUUCAUUGUUAAGUCAAGUCAGUUAAAUGGUCCUAUUCUUCCUGGCAGGGGGAAUCUGGUGACCCAGGGCUGCCAGGAACUACUGGACCAAGAGGACCAGAGGGGAAGAAGGGUGACCCUGGACCUCGAGGCCCACCUGGCCCCCCUGGACCCCCAGGAAGACGAUACUUUGUCGAGGACCUUGAGGGUUCUGGGAAGAGUGACCUGUUCCUUGGUGCAGGAGUCCAAGGCCCUUUGGGUCCUCCUGGUCUUCCUGGCCCAGCAGGACCAAAGGGUGAUAAAGGGAAAGAUGGGACUCCUGGGUUGUCAGUGA